GGGUGAGUAACGCGUAGGAAUCUACCCAGUAGUGGGGGAUAGCCCGGGGAAACUCGGAUUAAUACCGCAUACGCCCUAAGGGGGAAAGCGGGGGAUCUUCGGACCUCGCGCUAUUGGAUGAGCCUGCGUUGGAUUAGCUAGUUGGUAGGGUAAAGGCCUACCAAGGCGACGAUCCAUAGCUGGUCUGAGAGGAUGAUCAGCCACACUGGAACUGAGACACGGUCCAGACUCC
rnacentral:rRNA from 1 species